CUUAUACCCCCUCCGUCCCAAAAUUCUUNNNUUAGAUUUGUCUAGAUAUGAAUGUAUCUAGGCACGUUUUAGCAUUUAGAUACAUCUAUAUCUAGACAAAUCUAAGACAAAAAAUUUGGGACGUAGGGAGUAUUUA
rfam:Hordeum vulgare subsp. vulgare, WGS project CAJW01000000 data, contig: morex_contig_41659